rnacentral:lncRNA from 1 species
UUUUGGCUCAUCCAGUCUUGGAGUCGACUCGAACUUCCUUGGAGUCGACUCGGCUCUCAGUUUCCGGAAGUUGGUCUUCUGCCUUUUGACGUGAAGCUUGUCUUGGAGUCGACUCGAGCUGUCUGAGAGUCGACUCGAAUCUCAGAGGCAGUAACUUGGUUUUCUGUCUGUCUUGGGGUCGCGGUGUCUUGGAGUCGACUCGCGUAUUGCGGGAGUCGACUCGAAUCUCAGAGUCCAUGAAAUGCUCUCUGACUUUUUCUUUGUGUACCGCUGAGAGUCGACUCUUGCUUUCUCUGGAGUCGACUUGCCACCUAUCGGAGUCGACUCGCGUUCCACUGGAGUCGACUCGAAUCUNNNNNNNNNNNNNNNNNNNNGGGACGACUCGGCAGGUGCCGGGGACGCCUCGGCUUGUGCUAGUUCUUCCUGUUUGUGCCAGAGACGUCUCUGAGACAACCCGGAGACGUCUCGGCUGUCCCUGAUCUGUUUUCUUCAACUCAAAAAUUCUUCAAUAAAUUCAUAAAAAUUAUGGAAACUUGCCUAGACAUUUCUUAACAAUAUUCUUAAUUAAACACAUGAAAUUCUCAAUUAAAUUGUUAAGAUAAAUGAAAUUAUACUCUCGUGUUUUGUAUUCAUCAAAAUCCAUUAGGUGGUCAACAG